rnacentral:rRNA from 1 species
AGUGAACGCUGGCGGUAGGCCUAACACAUGCAAGUCGAACGGCAGCACAGUAAGAGCUUGCUCUUACGGGUGGCGAGUGGCGGACGGGUGAGGAAUACAUCGGAAUCUACUUUUUCGUGGGGGAUAACGUAGGGAAACUUACGCUAAUACCGCAUACGACCUACGGGUGAAAGCAGGGGAUCUUCGGACCUUGCGCGAUUGAAUGAGCCGAUGUCGGAUUAGCUAGUUGGCGGGGUAAAGGCCCACCAAGGCGACGAUCCGUAGCUGGUCUGAGAGGAUGAUCAGCCACACUGGAACUGAGACACGGUCCAGACUCCUACGGGAGGCAGCAGUGGGGGAUAUUGGACAAUGGGCGCAAGCCUGAUCCAGCCAUACCGCGUGGGUGAAGAAGGCCUUCGGGUUGUAAAGCCCUUUUGUUGGGAAAGAAAAGCGGCAGGUUAAUACCCCGCUGUUCUGACGGUACCCAAAGAAUAAGCACCGGCUAACUUCGUG